rnacentral:lncRNA from 1 species
GCCCCCUUUUUUUCUUUCCUCUUUUCCAGUAAUUCAGUCGUUGUAUCUAAAUUAUGCUUGAAUCCCGACCACUUAAUCUGUGUUUAGCAGACAGGAGUAGUUCAUUAAAUCUUUACUUUUGAAUAAGGAGGUAUGAGAAAAAGUUAGUUGGAAGUUAGUUUGAAUAAUAGAAGGGGGUUAAUCCAGAUUUUGUCCAUUGAUUAAAAAGGAGUGAUAAGCUCCUGGGCUGCACUGCUUAGUGGCUGUGUGCUCCUCCAUGGAAAGGAUGUACCAUAUUCAGGAACACUUUUCAAAUGGUUAUGUGUUGAGUGGUUGAGGGGAGACACUAGAUGCAUGAGAUCUGUUGUUGGAUAUCCAGGUAGCUUCGGAAACUAGUUUCAGCAUAUGAAGGAACUGGUUAUGUUACCUAUGUCACUAGAAAGUUCUUUGCUUCUUCCAGAGAAAGCCAUUUGACUAUGUCAUCAUCAACAAAGUUGCUAUAUAGGUCUCAGUCUGCCCUUGACCCCAUGGGCCCUGUGUUUUGUUGUCUUCAUUGCUGGUCAUUAAAAGUUAAUAUUUGAAAUGAGUGAACCCAAGCAGAAAUAAUGACUUUGACUUACAAUACUGAGAGGUCAUAGCCAACCAUGCGAAUAGAGCAUGCUCCUUUCUGGCCUCCCACCCACAGGGCGAGUCCAAGGGAAGUAUGGACUCGCCCUAUGGGUGGGAGCCCAGGAAGGUGCAUUAGACCAGCCUUUGCUGAGCUUCUUCUCUAGAGGGACCAGGAGGAGGCACAGAAAGUGCUGCCUCCAGGCCAAGAGAGAAGGUGCACUACAGGAGGAUACCCCCUGCUCUGGAGUUGACACGGAGUCGAUACAGGAACAGCUGAUUAUCAACAGAAUGCAGAUUCGCUGAGCUAGAUGAAUGCACAAGUGACUAUUCCUCUACCCCUCUCUCACAUGUGAACGGCUGAUCAAAAACUCAGAAGAAUGCGACCUCUUGCCUCUUACCUCCCCACACCUUUUAAACAUUUCUCCCUCUUUCCCCAGUGUCUGCCCUUUCCCCUUUAAAUAUUGAAGCCCUCAAAAUCAUCUUUGUAGAAAGGCACAGACUUGUCUCCCUGUCUCCCGGGCAUGUGUCCUUAACCUUGGCAAAAUAAACUUCUAAAUGGAUUGAGUCUCAGACACUUUUUGGUUUACACCUUCUUUAUUCCCCAUGGGGGAAGCAGAAGUCUCAACACUGCAAUUAGCCUGGAGGAAAUUUCAGUUCUUGAGCUUCAGGGAAGGGCCGCUCUGAAAUAUGUGAACCUCCAGUGGUACCAUCCUAUUGAACCAGAUCCUAUCCCUUCCAUGCUUGCAAGUAGACCUAUGAUUAGUCUGAAACAUUAAGCAGUUCAGCAGUUAUGACUGGAGGGGAAUGGUCUCUAUUUACCACGGACUCCCCUGGCUGAUCAGUCAGCAGCAUUUAUCUGCUUGUAUUUCCCUGUAAAUAUUCAGAGCCACACCCCCAGUUCAGGGCUAUUGGAGUGCCAAAAUGGAGCAUCUCAACCCCCUCCUUGCCCCACCCCAUCCUGCAAUUGCAUAGGACAAAUGCUCUGCCCGUCUUCUAAUUUUCUUUUGGCAUUUCGGAGUAGCUUCUCAAGGCAACAUGACACGAUGCUGUGCUGGCUGACAUCUUGUCCCUAGUGAGUCUGCUUGCCGUGAUGCCCUGCACAUUAGACUGCCAGGUACCCCUAGACUUGUGGCCAGGUAGAAGGGUGGCCCUAGACCCAUGUCCCCAUGUUCUAAACACAACCCAUGCCCAGAGAGGGAAAGAUAGCAUCAAAAUGAUGCAAACAGCAUGACAUAUGAAGAAAGGCUGAGAAGUUUGGGGGAGCAGUGAGCCCAGUGUGAGUCAGCAGGAGAUUUUUAUCUGCACAGAUAGGAAGGCAAUGUCUAAAAGAAGGGCAUGUAUGUCCCACUGGGCCACCCUGGGAAUACUGCCUCCCCAGCAGCAUCACUCAGUAAAAGACACAGGGACAAACUUAGCAUGUUCAGGAGAAGAAAGGGACCAGGACAGUGCAGAUGAGCUACAGGCUAGUGGAGUGGCUGCGCCCCUUGUGCCAGGGCCAGAGGUGGGGCAGAGAGCCUGAAGGCAGCCUGUCCCAUGCUCUGGUGUUAUCUGCACAGCAGCCAGGUCGAGAAGGUGCCACACCACCCACUGCAGAGCAGCCUCUGCCAG